rnacentral:rRNA from 1 species
AUUGAACGCUGGCGGCAUGCUUUACACAUGCAAGUCGAACGGUAACAGGCCGCAAGGUGCUGACGAGUGGCGAACGGGUGAGUAAUGCAUCGGAACGUGCCCAGUCGUGGGGGAUAACGCAGCGAAAGCUGCGCUAAUACCGCAUACGAUCUAUGGAUGAAAGCGGGGGACCGUAAGGCCUCGCGCGAUUGGAGCGGCCGAUGGCAGAUUAGGUAGUUGGUGGGGGAAAGGCUCACCAAGCCAACGAUCUGUAGCUGGUCUGAAAGGAAGACCAGCCACACUGGGACUGAGACACGGCCCAGACUCCUACGGGAGGCAGCAGUGGGGAAUUUUGGACAAUGGGCGCAAGCCUGAUCCAGCAAUGCCGCGUGCAGGAAGAAGGCCUUCGGGUUGUAAACUGCUUUUGUACGGAACGAAACGGUCCUGGUUAAUACCUGGGGCUAAUGACGGUACCGUAAGAAUAAGCACCGGCUAACUACGUGCCAGCAGCCGCGGUAACAC